UUGGCGCUGUUGGAAGAAUGGAAGGAAUAGAGGAAGGGAGAGCAGAGUGCACGUGUUCGCUCCGUGGUGGAGCUGACGGGUGGGCCUCACCAUAUCUAACGGAGAUAGCUAACAGAAGAUUCUGUGAAGUGAGAUGCGCAUGCGUAUUCAACUGACAGCAGGGGAGACGUCGAAAUCGUCCGAGGUAGAAUUUCAGCUGUUGGGCAUUUUGACCUUAGCUGCUGCGAGUUAACCUGCGUCAGAAACACUGGAGUGAACUGCACCGGCAACUGCAAGUGAA